rnacentral:rRNA from 1 species
UGUGUGGAUUGUCUUGUUUGUGUUAAGUUGUGGUUUUAUUAUUUUAAUUGAAGAAUCAUUGUGGUUAUUGUAUUUUUGUGAUUUAAUUUUUUAUACGAUAGAUUAUUUGUACCGUGAGGGGUUGAGAUUUGUUAGUGUUUUUUGAAAAGUUGACUUUUUUUGUCGUACCUUGUGUAUCAGGGUUCAUUGAAUUUUAUUAUUUAUUUUUAUUUCCCGAUUUUAAAGGAGUUAAUGGUUUAUGUUAGUUACUGUUUCAUCAGUAUUAAUGAUAUAUUGUUGGUAGUGAAAUGCUAUUCGUCUUUAGUGGUUUCUGGUUUUUCAAGAAAUGAAUUUAAUUCAUGCAUCUUAUUUAAUUUCUGUUGUUGUUUUACUUAUUUUUAUUUGAUGUUAAGAUUAGGGGGGAUUAGCUCCUUGUUUUAGUUUUUAUAAUUAUUUAUUUUGAUUUAGUUUUGUGGAUUUUAUAUUGAUUUUCAAUUUGAUUAUGUUAAAAUUUUGUUAUUUCUUUUGUUUAUUUUUUGUAGUUUAAGUAUUUAUUGGNNNNNNNNNNNNNNNNNNNNCUGACGUUUAUAAGGUUGAAGGGCCGCGGUAUUUUGACCGUGCAAAGGUAGCAUAAUCAUUAGUUCUUUAAUUGUGAUCUGGUAUGAAUGGCUUGACGAGACAUGAGCUGUCUUAGAGGUAUUUUUUAUUGAAUUUGGUCUUUGAGUUAAAAUUCUUAGAUGUUUUUAUGGGACGAGAAGACCCUAUAGAGUUUGACAUUUAAUCCUUCUCUUGUGUUGUGUUAGUUUAUUUGUUUUUAUGAGUUGGUUAAAUGUUUUGUUGGGGUGAUGAGAGGAAUAAGAUUUAACUCCUCUUUGAUUUUGUAUAUUUAUUUAUAUUUGUUUUGAUCCAUUUAUUUUGAUUAUAAGAUUAAAUUACCUUAGGGAUAACAGCGUUAUCUUCCCUGAGAGUUCUUAUUGGCGGGGAGGUUUGCGACCUCGAUGUUGGAUUAAGGUGAAUUUUCGGUGCAGGAGCUGAAAGUGAUUAGGUCUGUUCGACCUUUAAAAUCUUACAUGAUCUGAGUUCAGACCGGCGUGAGCCAGGUUGGUUUCUAUCUAUAAUAAUAUUUUAUACCUUAGUACGAGAGGACCGGGUAUUUGGAAUAAUUUUAGUUUAUUUGAUUUUCACUAAUUUG